CUACUAAGUAGUUUUUCCGACAACGACGACGACAUACAUGAGGACCAUGCGAUUCUUCCGUACCAAUUUGAACCGAAGGCACCGCCACGCACGAAUUCAGAGGCUGAUACCCAAACAUCAACACCUGCCGAGUCGGACGACUUUGACAAUCCAGACCGGCUUCGUAAUACCGACUGGUAAAUGUUUUGUUUCUUUGGGUUUUUUUUCUUUUUUAAGACUUCCGAACGUUCCAGCAUUCAGUUCAUUCAGGCUUAGGGUAAGGGUUAGUGAUAUUAUUAGCAUGCAUGCUGGAACGUUCGGAAGUCUUUCCUAAAAAUUAAUUAAUUGAAAUAAAAAUAAUAAAUGUAAAAUAUAUAACAGGGAUAUUUUAUUUUAAAAUGUUUUCGAGUCAUUUAUAAUGGCAAUUUUAUAACUAAUUAUUGAAAAAGGUUUGUUUAAUCUCAGUUCAACAUGGCACUGAUUAAGGUAUGGUGCCACACCAUGCUAAAACUGGCUAGGAAAAACACUAGUAGAUAUGUUAACUAAACUAAGGUUAUACUCAUUUUGUAACAUGGUAAUUACACUGUUUUAUAACUGAAUCGGAGAAUGUACUUUUAUACAUACAUAACAGGCAGGAUUUCUGAAGAGUGUGUGUGUGUGUGUGUGUAAAUCUGAUUUUUUUUUUUUUUUUUUUAAGCAUUUAGAACAGUUAAUAUAAUCAUGUUUCCCCUUAAAGGUUAUGGACGGUUUUCAAAAGUGUGGUCCAGACCCCUGCCCCCUGCCCCCCCCCCCCCCCCCGGUUCCGCUACUGCCCGUCAUAACUCACUGGAAUCAAGCAGAUGGGGGCGGGGGCAAGUUAUUUUAUAACCCAUAAAUAUUGUACCAUGGACAUUUAUUAUUAAUUAUGCAUUUCUUUGCAAAUUUACAGGUGCCUUUGUGGAAACUGUGAAGUCCAGCCUACUUUGGUAGAAAACAGAUGUUGCAUGGAAAUUGAUGCAGUUACUAAAACAAUGGAUGACUAUGCAAAUGAUUUUCAAAUGGAACCACUUGGAUGCAUUACAACACAUCCAGCCUUGAUACUUGGGUACUUCAGCUUGCCUACCAUGCAUACCGACAGCAAUACAAAGUGCACAACAGAAACAUUUCAGUUGAAGAAAAAUACAGAUAUGCUGCAUAUAGACAAUUCGUUAGGUUCUGUUGGGGAUAUCUUGGUCAAAAAGUACGUGUACCCCUGCCAGCAUGCACAUACGCAAUCAUCAAAAAAACAUUUGUUUCCAGGGAGUUUUCUGGCUUUCAAUACCCUAGAAUUGAUGACUAAAUAAAGUGUUAUUUUUGUGCAAA